CAAGUCGAGCGCGAAAGCUCCUUCGGGAGCAAGUAGAGCGGCGAAAGGGCGAGUAAUGCGUUCCUAUGUACCCCUUGGUCAGGGAUAGCCCAGGGAAACUUGGAGUAAUACCUGAUGUGGUCUCUGGAUCAAAGGCUUCGGUCGCCAGGGGAGCGGGGAACGUCCUAUCAGGUUGUUGGUGAGGUAACGGCUCACCAAGCCAAAGACGGGUAGCGGGUGUGAGAGCAUGACCCGCCGCAUCGGGACUGAGACACUGCCCGGACUCCUACGGGAGGCUGCAGUAACGAAUCUUCCGCAAUGCGCGAAAGCGUGACGGAGCAAUGCCGCGUGCAGGAUGAAUCCCUUCGGGGUGUAAACUGCUGUCAGGGUUUAGCAACACAAUGAGCAGACCCAAAGGAAGGGCCGGCUAACUUCGUGCCAGCAGCCGCGGUAAUACGAAGGGCCCGAGCGUUGCGCGGAAUCACUGGGCUUAAAGCGUACGUAGGCGGGCGCAAAGGUACUUUGUGAAAUCCCUCGGCUCAACCGAGGAAUUGCUUGGUAAACCAUGUGCCUUGAGGCGGGUAGGGGCUGUCGGAACGAUAGGUGGAGCGGUGAAAUGCGUUGAUAUCUAUCGGAACGCCAAAGGAGAAAUCAGA
rnacentral:rRNA from 1 species